UGUGUGUGUGCAUGUUAUUGCAGUGUGGGAUAAUGCAUUUCAAGAUGAAAGCACCAGGGAUACUUGUAAUGACAAGAGACUCUAACAGUGCAGCCUGACAGGAGGUGACCAGUGACCUUCCCGUACACACGAGGAUCCUGCUUCACAAGAACAGCCUCUCUAACUUUGGAAGGACAUGACAGCCUCUUGCUGUGCUUUGGCUGGAUCAGUUUCACAAUCACAAAUGACACAUAUCAGAUCAUCACUGGGGCGGCUGCGGUUGGGGCGGCAGAGCAGGUCGUCUAGUAAUCAGAAGGCGUCCCUUCUCCUUCGUCACGGCAUCAAUCAAGCGAACAGCAGAGUCCUCAGUUGUGGGUUGUAACUGGUGGUUCACUGACAGUUCAGGAAGCUUAUUUCCUCCCAGAGGUGACAUACACCGUAAUGUUCUCUCCCAACUCCCAUUUCCUUCUGUUGAUGAGUUUCCAUCUAAGCCUGCAGCAGCAGAAACAAAGACAGCUUCACUCCACAUAUCUUCAUCUAAACCUGGGUUACUACGGCUGAUGAUGCUGAAUCCUCAAGUGUUUGCAUUUAAAUCUUAAUUUGAUAAAAACGUCAUUCAACACAUAAAAUCCAUGCUCUAUAAAUAUCUUUUUUUUCGCCUGCUAAUUUUCUUGGCAUUUUUUGAAAGCCAAGUAUGUUUCCUCAAAAUGUACCUCUACAGAUCUAACAAGUGAACCCUAAGUGGCAUAAUGGCCAUAAAUGGUCCUCCAUUACAUUCAGCAACUUCAGAAACUCUGCACCCUUUUCAUCCUCAUUAAAGCAGCUUCUGAAAGUGAUGAUGGAUAUCAUCAAAACAAUUUUAUGUCUGGUCCCCCACGGAAAAGCUCAAGCCCUUCCUUCUGAACUCGAAGCACAAACAUCAGAGGCCAGCUAGAAGAUUUUCUUUUCAUCCUCAUAAUGCGACUUGGUCAGACUUUAAUAUUUGAUGCCAGCUGAAAUGUGACUAUUGUUGUCCAAAGAACAGAUACGGAUGAUUAAAGCAGUAACGAUGCUUAGAACGAAAGCUUGGCAAUAUGUUCAGCAGCUGUGUGGCCAUAACAGUUUUCCCCCGUUCAAAACCAUAAUAAUGAGCUUCAACAUCUACAGCA